rnacentral:rRNA from 1 species
UUUCCGGUUGAUCCUGCCGCCGGCCACCGCUAUCAAGUUCCGACUAAGCCAUGCGAGUCAAGGUAUCGUAAGAUGCCGGCAAACUGCUCAGUAACACGUGGAUAAUCUAACCUUGAGUAAGGGAUAACCUCGGGAAACUGAGGAUAAUACCUUAUAAUUGCUUAAAACUGGAAUGUUUAAGCAAUAAAAGUUCCGACGCUCAAGGAUGAGUCUGCGACCUAUCAGGUAGUAGGUGGUGUAAUGGACCACCUAGCCUCAGACGGGUACGGGCCCUGGGAGGGGUAGCCCGGAGAUGGACUCUGAGACAUCAGUCCAGGCCCUACGGGGCGCAGCAGGCGCGAACACUGUGCAAUGCGCGAAAGCGCGACACGGGGAGCUUGAGUGUCUUGGCAUAGCCAAGACUUUUCUCAUUCCUAAAAAGCAUGAGGAAUAAGUGCUGGGUAAGACGGGUGCCAGCCGCCGCGGUAACACCCGCAGCACAAGUGGUGGUCACUUUUAUUGAGCCUAAAGCGUUCGUAGCCGGUUUUGUAAAUCUUUAGAUAAAGCCUGAAGCUUAACUCCAGAAAGUCUGAAGAGACUACAAGACUUGAGAUCGGGUGAGGUUAAACGUACUUUCAGGGUAGGGGUAAAAUCCUGUAAUCCCGGAAGGACGACCAGUGGCGAAAGCGUUUAACUAGAACGAAUCUGACGGUAAGGAACGAAGGCUAGGGUAGCAAACCGGAUUAGAUACCCGGGUAGUCCUAGCUGUAAACACUGCCCAUUUGAUGUUGCUUUUCCGUUGAGGGAAGGCAGUGUCGGAGCGAAGGUGUUAAAUGGGCCGCUUGGGAAGUAUGGUCGCAAGACUGAAACUUAAAGGAAUUGGCGGGGGAGCACCGCAACGGGAGGAAUGUGCGGUUUAAUUGGAUUCAACGCCGGA